GUCUCUCCACUGUACUCUCGCGGCCUCGCCUCUCGCCUCCCUCCUCGCCUCUCGUCUCUCGUCUCUCGUCUCUCGCCUCUCCUUCUCAUUCUCCGUUCCACUUCACCCUAAAUCCCUCAUCCCUAAAUUACUCGCCGUUCCUCGCCGUUUCUCGCCAUUCCUCGCCGUUCCUCGCCGUUUCUCGCCAUUCCUCGCCGUUCCUCGCCGUUCCUCGCCGUUCUUCACCGUUUCUCGCCGUUCCUCGCCGUUCUCGUAAACCACCGUUCCUGUUCUUCUUCCAGAUUUUUUAUGAUUCACCGUUCAUCUAACAUCAUAUAGGUGGCCAAGGUUACCAGGCCUCACGGUAACAGUGGUGUUGUUCGUGCGAAGUUCAAGUCAAACCUGCCGCCUAAAUCUAUGGGUUCGAGAGUAAGAGUUUUCAUGUACCCCAGAAACAUUUAAGUUGUUCAGGACCUAUGGUUGACAGAGAUUGGUCACUUGGGAGGGGAUUUAUGUUUUAUGAACCAAGUUUUCAAGUGUCUUGUUUGUUUAGAGCUGAAUCAAUUUUGUUUGGUUUAGGAUGUUUAAUGGAGCAUUGUUCAAAACACUACAAGUUAAGUGAAUGCGCUUAUAUUUUGUUUAGCUUUUCUGCAAUUUAAUGGAGCAUUG